UACAGAGGUCUCAAGCGUUGUUCGGAUUCAUUGGGCGUAAAGGGCGCGUAGGCGGCAAGGCAAGUCGGGCGUGAAAUCCCACGGCUCAACCGUGGAAGUGCACUCGAAACUGCGCAGCUAGAGUCCUGGAGAGGAAGGUGGAAUGCUUGGUGUAGAGGUGAAAUUCGUAGAUAUCAAGCGGAACACCGGUGGCGAAGGCGGCCUCUGGACAGUGAC
rnacentral:rRNA from 1 species